CCAAGGGCCACGCGGCCAACGAGAGCGUCGUCAUCGCAGCCACACGGCUCGACGGCAGGUCGUUUUUCUGGGAGCAGGCUCCGGCCGCCGAAGGAACCGUGUCUGGAAUCAUCACCCUAUUGGCUGCCGUUCACGCCCUCUAUCCUGUCACUCAGGAAGCCCCGCCCCCUCGCAAUAUCUUCUUCACCUUCUUCCAAGGGGAAGCCUUUGACUACAUUGGCAG